UACGGAAGGCAGCAGUGGGGAAUAUUGCACAAUGGGCGAAAGCCUGAUGCAGCUAUGCCGCGUGUAUGAAGAAGGCCUUAGGGUUGUAAAGUACUUUCAUCGGGGAGGAAAACAAAACUAAUAAUUUUAUUUCUUGACGUUACCCGAAAAAGAAGCACCGGCUAACUCCGUGCCAGCAGCCGCGGUAAUACGGAGGGUGCUAGCGUUAAUCAGAAUUACUGGGCGUAAAGAGCACGUAGGUGGUUUUUUAAGUCAGAUGUGAAAUCCCUGGGCUUAACCUAGGAACUGCAUUUUGAAACUGAAAUACUAGAGUAUCGUAGAGGGAGGUAGAAUUCUAGGUGUAGCGGUGAAAUGCGUAGAUAUCUGGAGGAAUACCUGUGGCGAAAGCGGCCUCCUAAACGAAUACUGACACUGAGGUGCGAAAAGCGUGGGGAGCAAAACAGGGAUUAGAUACC
rnacentral:rRNA from 1 species